rnacentral:rRNA from 1 species
UACGUAGGGGGCUAGCGUUGUCCGGAAUCAUUGGGCGUAAAGCGCGCGUAGGCGGCCAGAUAAGUCCGGUGUGAAAGUCACAGGCUCAACCUGUGAAUGCCGCUGGAAACUGUCUGGCUUGAGUCCGGAAGGGGCGAGUGGAAUUCCUGGUGUAGCGGUGAAAUGCGCAGAUAUCAGGAGGAACACCGAUGGCGAAGGCAGGUCUCUGGGCAUUAACUGACGCUGAGGAGCGAAAGCAUGGGGAGCGAACAGG